CACGUUUCCUCUUUCAACUGUGAACAAAGCUAUUCCAACCUAAGAGGAUAAGAAAAGGGAGCACAGUGUCACACAGAAAGUCCCUAUGGAAGCACCACGAGUACUACCUCCACAUGGACAGCAGAGGAAACUGAGUUCAAGCAGAUCACAGAUGACGCCAUUGAAUUCAGCUCUUAAGUGUUUUAUGCUGAUAAAUAUCAGGGUACACCGGAAAUCGAAAGUAACUUGUGGCGAAAUAUAAUGCAGCCUUUUUUUUCAUGUGCAAUUUAGAAAACUGGCAAUUGUGCACUUAUCCGUUUAAUAAUCAACACCAAUACUACUCUAACAUUGAAAGUUCAGGGUAUAAAUAAGUGAAGUUGGUUUAUAUGGUAGAAAUCAACUACUGUAACUUUUCUAGCUAGGAGAAAGGUGUCUCCCGUUUUCUUUGAAGUUUAGUUCCGAAGCGAAUGCUAUAAUUUUUUUAUUUUUUUUUGACCAAAGAAUGGCCGUAGGAUCGUAGAUGACUGUGUCACUUCUUGUUUUGCACUAGAUACCGCUGGCUAGACUAGAGGAUCCCCUAAUCACCUGGCUCUGAUGGGAUACGUACGCUGGGGCAUUGCAUCAACUGUAACGGUUUUCCUUUCAAAUGAAUCUCCGGUUCAAUUUUUGUUUUUUUUUAUUUUUGAGUCCAAAGAUUCACUUUUUAUUUUUGCGCCUGACUAAUCAGUUGAGUAUCAUAAAUACUCGGCGUGCUCAGUAAAAUCCCUGAGCGUUGGCACUUGGCUCUAAAUAGAGCCAGUUGACAGGUUUGUAUGUCUCACUAGGUGUGCCGGUUGGACUGAAUUCAUACGUCGUCAAAUUUUAUACACUUCCCAGUAAGAUUUAAAAUCUAUUAAUUUAAACUAGUAGGAUGACUUUUUACAUUGUUAAAUGGAGCAGUCCCUACUGGAAUGUAAACCAUGUAUUGUAGAUAUGUGUUUUUUGGGGGGGGGUUUGAGCAAAUCGUGUAACACAGAAAUGUGCUUGAAGAAGGCAUGCACUAAGUAUGCAAUAAAUUGAAUGUGUGUAAA